rnacentral:lncRNA from 1 species
AUUGUAUAUUUUUGUGAUAGAUAUAAGUAUUUAUAGAAAAGGUAUCACAAAGCACCUCUCUGUGGAGAGUCCUAUAGACUGCCUGGGGUGCUUGAGAAAAGCAGCUCAUGCAAAUGUGGAGCAAUGCCUCAGAGAGCACCAGAAAAUGAGGGAAAUUUAGUUUUCCAAUGUUCCUUCCCAUUCCUGCUCAUGUGCACCCACCCUGUUGUGUUUGUUUCUGUUCACCUCAUUCUUGCCAUUUCUGGUGAGAUGGCACAAGCAGUCACACUGGAAGAACCACAAGAGCCAUCAGGAGCAUUUUCCUCAGCACAUAAACACAGUGUAGAGCUGGAUUACAUAAUAAGGACUUUCUUCAGAAUCAGAGUGAAGUAGAGAAAGACUUUAUUUCCUGAAAAGCUCUUGGGUCUUGACUCUUCAGAGCUCAUCACAGUUCAUGUUACUAAAGCAGAAGCUGACUCUCUCACUGAUAUUUUUGGAGAUAAGAAUAUAGAAUCAAAAUUCCACUGUUCAACAAAACUUCUUUUGUUGAAUUAAGGAAAAAAAAAACAACAACAAAACAACCAAACUCUAAUUUGUGCCUAAAUUAAAAACAUUUAUCUGUUUGAUGUAAGCCUAUACAUACCUGGCAUCUUAUCCUACCCCAGAAUUUUCUCCCUGUUUCAGACAGAAUCAGACAGGGAUAUCCCUUACCGACAGACAACAUUACAAAGCAGAUCUGUAUCAACUCCUUAUUCUAGCAGAUGUCAAAUUUCAUAUAAAGGAAGCUCAAAGGUCUAUCUGUCUUGCUAGAAAUGACCACAAACUUGGAGGACUUACCACUGUUACCAGGUCAUAACUUAGAAAAUCAGAUGUGUUUUUCAUUAAAGCAGUCAACAGAGAAGAUGAAGAGACUGAAAUGAAUCACUGGGUGGUCAUGACAUGUCAUCCUUGUGUGACAACAUAAGCACUUUAGUUGAGCUCAGAAGAGUUUGUCUCUACUUGGUUCACAGGAUGAACUGUAUUUGCACACAUGAUUUCUUUAGCUAAAGAUAAGCCAGAAAAGAUGCUCCACAAGCAAACAUAAAAUUUCCUGCUACUUAUUAAGUCUAUGGGAUGAAACUAGAAAAAUUGUAAAAUAAGAAAUAAAUA